AAUGAAUAUUAACCGGGAAAAGUAUAUUUUUAGUGACCAUUAAAAAGAAUAGCUAGUAAGUAUUCUAUUUUUACUUUUCUACCUCCCUCCAAUUUUUCUUUUUCCCUCUAAAUGAUCUCCCGCCGAAAAUAUUCACCUCUGAUUUACCCUAAAAUAUAAAAAGCCCAAAUAUAACUUUUUCCUCAAAUCAAACUCUAUAGCAGCAGUCGUUCUUCAGUCCGCAGACAACCAAUACGGUUUUCACCAACUCGCCACCGACCAGCAUCACCAGCACUGCUUGAGUAGGAAAUAUGCAAACUAGAGGAUGCAACAGAUUGGUAAUUGAACAACAAGAUGAUGACGAGAUGCGACAUUAUAUUGAGCAAUUGAUGGAUGAUCAAAACCACUCUGCAGCCCAACCUUAUAUUGAGCAGUUGGUGGAAAAUUGGAACAACUCUGAGUCCCAAUCACAUGAUGGUCAAUCUAAUGAGUUGAAUAGUUCUGUUGGUGGUACUGAGGUACAACAUAACGAUGAAUCAGAAAGUUCUCUAUCCCAAAACGCGGAGAAGCGUUUGUUUUAAAGUCACUAGGAAAGAAAUGGAAAGAUUACAAGUGCGAUUUAAAAGAGGCGUACCCAAGCAAAUAGAAAUAAUAGGACCAAGCAAAAGAUGUCUCACACUGGGGGAUCCAAAAGUAUUGCUACUUUGAUGGAUGAGAAGGCUGAAAAUGGGAUAGAGCCUACACGAGCCCAAAUUCUUAUAUUAACUCAUAAAGAACGUAAGGAUGGUAGACCACUGGAUGAGGAUUCUGCCAGGACAAUCGACAUGAUAAAUGAAAGGAUAAGCAAUGGUGAGAGAUCUACUACCAACCUCCUCAUAGUGUUGCUUGGGAAGGCGAUGUGUAUUCCCAGGUGUUGGGAAAUGAAAAGAGUGGGUAUGUUCGUGGUUUGGGACUUGGUCCAACUCCUUCUGUGCUAUGGGGUAGUAGAUCUACCUUAGGAAAUAUUAUUGCAAAAGAUUCAUCUAAUGAGCUCGUACAAAGGUUAGAGCAGGAGGUGAUCGAGUUAAAGGCGAAACAAAAUGAAGAAAUAAAUCUGAUGAAACAAAAUCAGGAGAAGAUGGAAUCAGAAUUACUCCAAAUGAGACAAUUCAUGCGCAAAUACGCUCCUAAUGAAUCCAUGCCUCAAAAUAUCAAUGACACCUCAAGUGAACAGGUCCCUGACGCCAACAGUGGCCAUGAACGAGUACCGCAAACCUCAAGGAUACCUAGUGUUGCUGAAAACACUCCACCUUCUCACGGUCAUUCAGUCUGAUGUUUGAAAAUUUCGCAUGCGGAAGAUUUCAAUAUGACGUAGACUUGCAGAAAUUAUUUGAAGACAUUAUGCAAUAGGAUUGGUUAUAUAAUGACAUUAGUUAUUCAGUUCAAACAAUUUAGGGUUUUUUUUUUUUUAGUCGUGACACUAUUUUUUGGGUUAGUACUUCCUUUUGUUUGUUUACGUUUAAUGAGAUAUGUUCAGUUUUAUGAAUUAAUAGUAAUAUAUUUGUUUUGCAUUUUCCAAACUU